UACGUAGGGGGCAAGCGUUGUCCGGAUUUAUUGGGCGUAAAGAGCGUGUAGGCGUCUGGGUAGGUCCGUUGUGAAAACUCGAGGCUCAACCUCGAGACGCCGAUGGAAACCCUCCAGCUAGAGUCCUGAAGAGGAGAGUGGAAUUCCUGGUGUAGCGGUGAAAUGCGCAGAUAUCAGGAAGAACACCCGUGGCUAAGGCGGCUCUCUAGUACGUUACUGACGCUGAGACGCGAAAGCGUGGGGAGCGAACAGG
rnacentral:rRNA from 1 species